UUGCUUCAGCAGCACAUAUACUAAAAUUAGAACGACAAAAGAAGAUUAACAUGUCCCCAGUGCAUGUAUGACAUAGACAUUAGUGAAGCGUUUCAUAAAUUU